AUUUAGUGAGGUAAAUAUUUAGUGAGGUAAAUAUUUGUGAGACUUUUUGAGAGAGCAUAUGGAAACAAUUUAUAACAUAUGUCCAUAAGCUGUUUCCAACUUAUUUUCUUAAACAGUCUAGGAUAGCUUAUUGUUUUUAUGAAAACAAUUAUACUUUAUUUUAUCUUUUGUUAUUGAAAUAGCAUAUACAUAUGCACUUAUAUAUAAUAACGCUUAUGCUAUAAGCACUUAAUUAAGCUUUUUAUUCAAACAAGGAUGUCUUUUUUGGCCCAUCAGUUUUGGUGCUUGCUUUGGGUAUUCUGAUUAAUCAUGUGCUCAUGUGAUUGCACAAUACAGUUAUCCCAUUUAGGUUUGGUUGAUACACCACGAACAGUGUAGCAACAGGUCUGUAAGAAUAGUUGUUGCUCCACUCAAUAUAUGAACAUAAUAUGUGUAUAGAUAUAAGAGUACAAUUAAGCCUAAAAAACAAUUGAGCAGCCUUACACAUUUGGUAUUGGAGUACAAUUAAGCCUAGAAAACAAUUGAGCAGCCUGACACAUUUGGUAUUGGAGUUCUUUUUUGACACAAAUUAUUAUAUGACUGUUGUGUGAUAGUUAGUUGGGUGUGAUGAACAUAUGAAGCCUAUAACUAUUCAUAUGCUUAAAUAAAGACCAUAGCAUAUACAUGUCACUGACUAUUAGUUGGGUGUGAUGAACAUAUGAAGCCAGGUUUGCAUUCUAAAUUGAAGCUUAUUUGCUUGUUUUGAAUUCUAUUAGGACAUAGAAGCUUAUUUGCUUAUUUACCUGCCUACUCCAGCGAAGAUGAUUCAAUCAUAGCAGAUGCACUUUGGAAGCAGAUCAAUGUUACCGGCGAUUCUUCAGAUUAUCUAUGGUAUUUGACAGAUGUCAGCAUUAGUUCUACUGAAGGUUUUAUAAAGAAUGGUCAAUCCCUACUCAUACCAUAAAUUCAGCAGGUCAUGUUCUGCAUGUUAUUGUUAAUGGUCAACUUUCAGGAACUGUGUAUGGAGGAUUGGAUACUAAAUUAACAUUUAGCAAGAGUUUUUUGUAUCUUCCUCUCUUGUGUACUGAAAUAUGAAAUAGAGGUCAGCCAAUAUGGAGUAAUAGUCUGAAAUUACCAGUGCACAACAUGAAGGGUAAUAAUAAGCUCUUCUUGAGGUUUAAAAUUAUCAUGCUUCAUAUCCCUUUGUAUUUUAGUUAUACUAGUUAAGAAGGGUAAUAUUUUAGUUAUACUUGAGUUAAGAAGGGUGAGGUUUAGGACUGGAAUAACAGAAUCUUUGUUUGGUUUGUGUGUGUUAAUUUCAGCUUGCUUGUUUGGUAUUAUGUCAAUUUCAUCUUCUAUGUUUUGGAUGUUUAUAGGUGGCUAUUUUUAUUAUGUUUAAGAGACUACAAUUAAUUGCAGCAAAAAAAAAAGCACAAAAAUUUUUAGUCAUUAAGUAGAAAAAAAAGAAAGAAAA